rnacentral:rRNA from 1 species
AUACGUAGGGUGCGAGCGUUGUCCGGAUUCAUUGGGUUUAAAGGGUGCGCAGGCGGCCGUGCAAGUCAGCGGUGAAAGCCCGGGGCUCAACCCCGGAAGUGCCGUUGAUACUGCGUGGCUGGAAUGCGGUCGAGGCGGGCGGAACGGGGCGGGGAGGGGGGAAAUGCGUAGAUAUGCCACAGAACGCCGAUAGCGGAGGCAGCUCGCCAGGCCUGCAUUGACGCUGGGGCACGAAAGCGUGGGGAUCGAACAGGAUUAGAUACCCUGGUAGUCCACGCCGUAAACGAUGGGCGCUCGUCGUCGGCGACAGACAGUCGGCGGCCAAGCGAAAGCGACAAGCGCCCCACCUGGGGAGUACGGUCGCAAGGCUGAAACUCAAAUGAAUUGACGGGG